rnacentral:rRNA from 1 species
CACGUAGGGCGCAAGCGUUGUCCGGAAUUAUUGGGCGUAAAGAGCUCGUAGGCGGUCUGUUGCGUCCGCUGUGAAAACUCGGGGCUUAACCCCGAGCCUGCAGUGGAUACGGGCAGACUAGAGGUAGGUAGGGGAGAAUGGAAUUCCCGGUGUAGCGGUGAAAUGCGCAGAUAUCGGGAGGAACACCGGUGGCGAAGGCGGCAUCCUGGACCAUAACUGACGCUGAGGCGCGAAAGCUAGGGGAGCAAACGGG